rnacentral:rRNA from 1 species
AGACGACGAAGUGGUUGAUGCCAUGCUUCCAAGAAAAGCUUCUAAGCUUCAGGUAACCAGGAACCGUACCCCAAACCGACACAGGUGGUUGGGUAGAGAAUACCAAGGCGCUUGAGAGAACUCGGGUGAAGGAACUAGGCAAAAUGGCACCGUAACUUCGGGAGAAGGUGCGCCGGUGAGGGUGAAGGACUUGCUCCGUAAGCUCAUGCCGGUCGAAGAUACCAGGCCGCUGCGACUGUUUAUUAAAAACACAGCACUCUGCAAACACGAAAGUGGACGUAUAGGGUGUGACGCCUGCCCGGUGCCGGAAGGUUAAUUGAUGGGGUUAGCUAACGCGAAGCUCUUGAUCGAAGCCCCGGUAAACGGCGGCCGUAACUAUAACGGUCCUAAGGUAGCGAAAUUCCUUGUCGGGUAAGUUCCGACCUGCACGAAUGGCGUAACGAUGGCGGCGCUGUCUCCACCCGAGACUCAGUGAAAUUGAAAUCGCUGUGAAGAUGCAGUGUAUCCGCGGCUAGACGGAAAGACCCCGUGAACCUUUACUAUAGCUUUGCACUGGACUUUGAAUUUGCUUGUGUAGGAUAGGUGGGAGGCUUUGAAGCGUGGACGCCAGUCUGCGUGGAGCCAACCUUGAAAUACCACCCUGGCAACUUUGAGGUUCUAACUCAGGUCCGUUAUCCGGAUCGAGGACAGUGUAUGGUGGGUAGUUUGACUGGGGCGGUCUCCUCCUAAAGAGUAACGGAGGAGUACGAAGGUGCGCUCAGACCGGUCGGAAAUCGGUCGUAGAGUAUAAAGGCAAAAGCGCGCUUGACUGCGAGACAGACACGUCGAGCAGGUACGAAAGUAGGUCUUAGUGAUCCGGUGGUUCUGUAUGGAAGGGCCAUCGCUCAACGGAUAAAAGGUACUCCGGGGAUAACAGGCUGAUACCGCCCAAGAGUUCAUAUCGACGGCGGUGUUUGGCACCUCGAUGUCGGCUCAUCACAUCCUGGGGCUGAAGCCGGUCCCAAGGGUAUGGCUGUUCGCCAUUUAAAGUGGUACGCGAGCUGGGUUUAGAACGUCGUGAGACAGUUCGGUCCCUAUCUGCCGUGGACGUUUGAGAUUUGAGAGGGGCUGCUCCUAGUACGAGAGGACCGGAGUGGACGAACCUCUGGUGUUCCGGUUGUCACGCCAGUGGCAUUGCCGGGUAGCUAUGUUCGGAAUAGAUAACCGCUGAAAGCAUCUAAGCGGGAAACUAGCCUCAAGAUGAGAUCUCACUGGAACCUUGAGUUCCCUGAAGGGCCGUCGAAGACUACGACGUUGAUAGGUUGGGUGUGUAAGCGCUGUGAGGCGUUGAGCUAACCAAUACUAAUUGCCCGUGAGGCUUGACCAUAUAACACCCAAGCAAUU